GAAUUGCCUCAAUCCGUCCAUCCAAGAGCAGUCUGUUCAUCAAAAGAAGAGUCGAGAGCACUUUGACAAAUUCUUCAGUAGAAGAGGACUUGGCUAGCUUGGAGGAACAAUGAAUAAAAGUCUGUCGAAUCAAUAACUGCAAACUUUGGAUGAUGCGGCUAAAUGAUGACAGCAGACCCCCACCGGAAGCAGCAAGACAUAUAGCUACUAAGCAAAGAGGAAUCACUUAAAAGGUUUAGUUUUUGUCUUAAAAACCAGACAAGAGGCGAAGUAAUUGUUUCUUAGCCUAUUUUCCCUAUUUUUUUUCUUUUGGCACAUUUCUCAAUUUUUUGUUAACUUAACUAAUCUUGUAUUAGAUUCUGUCUUUGAAAUGGAAAGAUUGGAGGAUAGAACAGACAGAUGGUUGUUGCACAAAUAAAAAAGAGGAGAACAUGUUCCAAGGAUCCAAAUACAGAGUAUUCACUAUGAAAACAGAUAAGAAUAGGAAAAGUGAUGUACAGUUUGGCAGGAAUCAGUCUGUGGAUGCAUGUUGACUUGAUAACUCUCUACCAGAUUGUACAGUGUAAGGAUGGAGAGAAGUCAUUAACAUGGAAUUCAGGAGAUAGAACAAUUUCCCUAUUUCCUAUAUGAGAGCAGUCUGUUUGCCAAAGAAGAGUCCAGUGAACCGAGUUCAAUCCUACACAAACGGAUGCAGCUAGCAUAAAUCAACAUUUAGUUAGAGUUUCCCCAAUCAACGACAACCACUUUGGAAUGAUGUGGAUGUAGAGCAGUAGGGCCCUUCGAAAACAACAGGAUUUAUAAUCACUUAGCAACCAAGGACCAAGGAAAAGGUUUGGUCUUAAAAAGCAGACAAGAGGUGAGUUAAUUAUUUUCUUGGCCUGUAUUUCUGUUUCUAUUUUUUCUUUUGGCACAUUUUUCAAUUAUGUUUUUGACAUAACUAAUCUUGUAUUAGUUUCUAUCUUUGAAAGGGAAAGAGUGGAGCAUAGAAAAAUUGGAUGGUGACCUGCCUCACAAAGAAGAGAAAAAUAUAAUGCAAUGACUGGAAUACAGAGUAUCCACUAUGUAAACAGAUAUAAACAGCAAAAGUGAUGUGCAGUUUGGCAGGAAUCAGUCACUCUGUGGAUGUUGACUUGAUAACUCAUUACCAGACUAUACAGUGUACGGAUGGAGAGAAGUCUUUA